AAAACUUUUAAUCAUCAUCAUCUGUUCUCAUCAGUUUAAUAUCUGAUACAUCCCCCAUCGGGGGACUACAUAUUAAAUAGAUUUUUCAAACAGGGAGUCGGAAAUGGGGCUUGCUCCUUCCGCUCCACACAUCGACCCGGUCCUUCCGCU
rnacentral:snRNA from 13 species